rnacentral:piRNA from 1 species
UGCCUGAUGUCAUGUAAGACAUGCCUUC